rnacentral:rRNA from 1 species
GACGGAGGAUGCAAGUGUUAUCCGGAAUCACUGGGCGUAAAGCGUCUGUAGGUGGUCAAAUAAGUCAACUGUUAAAUCUUGAGGCUCAACCUCAAAAUCGCAGUCGAAACUAUUCGACUAGAGCAUAGUAGGGGUAAAGGGAAUUUCCAGUGGAGCGGUGAAAUGCGUAGAGAUUGGAAAGAACACCGAUGGCGAAGGCACUUUACUGGGCUAUUACUAACACUGAGAGACGAAAGCUAGGGUAGCAAAUGGG